rnacentral:tRNA from 1 species
GCUUAUAUAGCUCAGGGGUAGAGCAUUAGACUGAAAAUCUUUGUGUCGAUGGUUCAAAUCCAUCUUUAAGCA